AGCAUUUUACGAGGUGCUGCAUGGUUGUCGUCAGCUCGUGCCGUGAGGUGCGGGUUAAGUCCCAUAACGAGCGCAACCCUACCUUUAGUUGCCAUCAGGUAAUGCUGGGGACUCUAAAGGAACUGCCUACGCAAGUAGUGAGGAAGGCGGGGAUGACGUCAAAUCAGCACGGCCCUUACGUCCAGGGCUACACACGUGCUACAAUGGCCGAUACAGAGGGCAGCUACCUGGUGACAGGAUGCAAAUCUCCAAAGUCGGUCUCAGUUCGGAUCGGAGUCUGCAACCCGACUCCGUGAAGUUGGAUUCGCUAGUAAUCGCGCAUCAGCCAUGGCGCGGUGAAUACGUUCCCGGGCCUU
rnacentral:rRNA from 1 species